GAUGAAGAACGUAGCGAAAUGCGAUACGUAAUGUGAAUUGCAGAAUUCAGUGAAUCAUCGAAUCUUUGAACGCAUAUUGCGCUCUCUGGUAUUCCGGAGAGCAUGCUUGUUUGAGUAUCAGUAAACACCUCAACUUCCAUAUCUUUUUUGAAAUGGGAGUUGGACUUGAGUGAUCCCAACGCUUUUCCUCACCGAAAAGUGGCGGGUUACUUGAAAUGCAGGUGCAGCUGGACUUUUCUCUGAGCUAUAAGCAUAUCUAUUUAGUCUGCCUAAAAAACAGAUUAUUACCUUUGCUGCAGCUAACAUAAAGGAGAUUAGUUCUUGUGCUGACUGAUGCAGGAUUCACAAAGACAGCUUCGGCCGACUUUGUAAACUCGAUCUCAAAUCAAGUAAGACUACCCGCUGAACUUAAGCAUAUCAAUAACGGAGGA
rnacentral:misc_RNA from 1 species